CGAACGGUAACAGGAAGAAGCUUGCUUCUUUGCUGACGAGUGGCGGACGGGUGAGUAAUGUCUGGGAAACUGCCUGAUGGAGGGGGAUAACUACUGGAAACGGUAGCUAAUACCGCAUAACGUCGCAAGACCAAAAAGGGGGACCUUCGGGCCUCUUGCCAUCGGAUGUGCCCAGAUGGGAUUAGCUAGUAGGUGGGGUAACGGCUCACCUAGGCGACGAUCCCUAGCUGGUCUGAGAGGAUGACCAGCCACACUGGAACUGAGACACGGUCCAGACUCCUACGGGAGGCAGCAGUGGGGAAUAUUGCACAAUGGGCGCAAGCCUGAUGCAGCCAUGCCGCGUGUAUGAAGAAGGCCUUCGGGUUGUAAAGUACUUUCAGCGGGGAGGAAGGGAGUAAAGUUAAUACCUUUGCUCAUUGACGUUACCCGCAGAAGAAGCACCGGCUAACUCCGUGCCAGCAGCCGCGGUAAUACGGAGGGUGCAAGCGUUAAUCGGAAUUACUGGGCGUAAAGCGCACGCAGGCGGUUUGUUAAGUCAGAUGUGAAUCCCCGGGCUCAACCUGGGAACUGCAUCUGAUACUGGCAAGCUUGAGUCUCGUAGAGGGGGGUAGAUUCCAGUGUAGCGGUGAAAUGCGUAGAGAUCUGGAGGA
rnacentral:rRNA from 1 species